rnacentral:rRNA from 1 species
GACGAACGCUGGCGGCGUGCUUAACACAUGCAAGUCGAACGGAAAGGCCCAGCUUUUUGGGUGGGCUCGAGUGGCGAACGGGUGAGUAACACGUGAGUAACCUGCCCUUGACUUGGGGAUAACUGCAGGAAACUGGGUCUAAUACCGGAUAGGAGCUCCUGCUGCAGGGUGGGGGUGGGAAAGUUUCGGCGGUUGGGGAUGGACUCGCGGCUUAUCAGCUUGUUGGUGGGGUAGUGGCUUACCAAGGCUUUGACGGGUAGCCGGCCUGAGAGGGUGACCGGCCACAUUGGGACUGAGAUACGGCCCAGACUCCUACGGGAGGCAGCAGUGGGGAAUAUUGCACAAUGGGCGGAAGCCUGAUGCAGCAACGCCGCGUGCGGGAUGACGGCCUUCGGGUUGUAAACCGCUUUCGCCUGUGACGAAGCGUAAGUGACGGUAAUGGGUAAAGAAGCACCGGCUAACUACGUG